UACGUAGGAGGCGAGCGUUGUCCGGAAUUACUGGGCGUAAAGAGUGUGUAGGCGGUGCUCUAAGUUCGGUGUGAAAUCUCCCGGCUUAACUGGGAGGGUGCGCCGGAAACUGGAGUGCUCGAGCGUGGGAGAGGAAAGCGGAAUUCCUGGUGUAGCGGUGAAAUGCGUAGAUAUCAGGAGGAACACCUGCGGUGUAGACGGCUUUCUGGACCAUUGCUGACGCUGAGACACGAAAGCGUGGGUAGCAAACAGG
rnacentral:rRNA from 1 species